UUUCAGUGCACGUGGACAUUUUAUUCUCUCCUGGCGGGAGAGACAGGUAAUCCAAGCCCGGGCAUGAAGUUUAGGAAACCAUGACCUCUGCCUUGGCUUCCUCAUCCUGUCCAGUCCAGGAGCUUUAUGCAAUCAGAGCUUUGUGGCAUGGCAGCUUUGAGAUGGCAGAUCUACAGUGACGGUGCUACCAACACUGCAAGUUAGAUCACCUCUAUCUCAUGCUGGGGUGUUGCCCUUAUAUGAAUGAUCCUGAAUGGCUCCCCUACAUCCAUGAUCCAGUUUUAUGACUUUGGUGCCUGAUAUCUUAAGCUUUCUCAAAACUCUUUUGUAAGCUGGAGGAGAGAAAUGAAUCCAGACACAUCUUAGCUGGGUCUUCUGCUUCAGUAUCUUAUAAGCCUGCAAUCAAGGUGUGAGCCCAGAGGCUGCAUUCUCAUCUCAAGGCUGAACUGCGGAAGGAUCUGCUUCCAUGCUCACUCACAUAGUUCGUGGUCAGGUUCCUCAGAAGCAAACCUUGAGAAGCAAAUCUUCAGGAAGAUAUGUCUGCAAGCAACUUAAAAAAGUGCCUUUGGAAGAAACCAAGAGGGCAGGGAGCAGGAGCAAUAAGGAGAAGGCAUCACGCAGGGGUACAGUUUCAGGCCAAGUCCCAGAGAGGGUGAUGUCAGCCCGAUCCUGCCGGGAAAUAUACUCUGAGCCAGGAUCAUCCAUAAAUGUCCCAAGAUGCAGCAGAGGGCAGAGAAGUGUGGUGGCUCCGGCAAAAGACUGAGGCUCUGAGACCACAUCUGGAUUUCUGUUUAGACACUUAAGAAGUCGUGACAUCCAGAGCAGCAACCUAGCCCCUGCACUCCUGGUGAGCUGCUUCUCAGAGCGCUGGCACUGCCAUUGAUAAUCCAAGCUUUCAGCAAGGGCUGUCCCCCUCCCCAUUCAGCAAUGCACAAGACUCAUGAUCCUCCUUUCUUCACACUUACUCCCGAUAUCAUCUGCUUCUGUGACUUCAAUUCUCACCACCUGGCCAGUCCUGACCCUCUGCACCCUUGACCUCUCUCAGAGCUCUGUGCAGCAUUUCUUGUCCACUGGCUCCAGGCAGGAGGGAGAGAGAAAAGGAAGAGUGCACUCUAGAGAGUAGAGUGGUGAGAGACGAUGAAGAUGAUAAUGAUGACUACUAGGUGUCAGGGGAGACAAGCCGGAUUCAAGGUCCUAUUUAAUAUAUUUAAAGGAAAUUUUAAGACAUUAAAAAGGAAAGUUUUAUCUGCACUAUCCAUGCAGGCCCUGUGAGUUUGAAGACA